AAUUUUGACUUCGUUCUAAUGCGUUGAUAUGAACCCGUAGCAAAAAAGUUAAGAGUACACAAAACCUGAAACAUGAUUUCAUUAAGAAAUUACACUAAGUAAUUUUAUAUUUUAUCUGAGGUUAGAAGAAGGUACAACACAUACCUUGAUUU